UACAGAGGUCUCAAGCGUUGUUCGGAUUCAUUGGGCGUAAAGGGUGCGUAGGCGGCGCGGUAAGUCGGGUGUGAAAUCUCGGAGCUUAACUCCGAAACUGCAUUCGAUACUGCCGUGCUUGAGGACUGGAGAGGAGACUGGAAUUUACGGUGUAGCGGUGAAAUGUGUAGAGAUCGGGAGGAACACCGGUGGCGAAGGCGGGUCUCUGGGCAUCUCCUGACGCUGAGGCGCGAAAGCGUGGGGAGCAAACGGG
rnacentral:rRNA from 1 species